rnacentral:lncRNA from 1 species
AAAAUGCAGAUAUGGAGCUGACAGCUGAAAAAUUGUUUCACAAGGCAAGAAAUGACCAUUUCUGCCUGUCGGUAAAAAUAUCUGAAACAGAAAGGCUUCCUUUUAGCAUACUGGGUGUUUGGGCACAACAAUAUUUUUAUAUCAGCUUUGACUUUGACAGCAUGAGGCUAUCAUUCACUAGGAUAGAUUGUGACUUUCUCUUUGAUUGAUCAUUAAUGUGCAUAAUGAAAAGAUAAUAAAAUGUUUAUUGUUUCUACAAGUCUUGACAUUCUCAACCAUGUUUGCUUAUUAGUUCAGUGAACCUAUCAAUAAUGAUCUUAGAAGCUAAAGUUUCUGUUGGAUUCUUGCAAGUUACAAAAUAAUGCCAAUGAUCCAAGAUCUUGAAGAGUGCAUUUAAUUUCAGUCACAUAAAUGUGAAUAAACAGGUCAAUUCCACAAGAUCCAAUUACCUAAAAUAAAUCAAGAUUUCUCUUAUACAAGCUGCGAUCAAUCAGUAGAAGAUGGAAGAAUAGAUUAUGCAGCCACAGUUACUAAUCUUGAUCUAUACAAAACUUGUUGAGGUAUAUUAUGCCAGCAGAGGCUAAACAGUCAGAAUAAACAGGAACAUUGUUGAGGGAAAGAAUUGAACACAUAAAAUUGUGCUGGUACCUCUUUAGGACAGGAACAUUGUUACCCUUGCAUCAACAACUAAAAGGGUUGAUCCUCUAUACUGAAAAGUCCAACAGUUAGCGGAAAAAGCAUUAUGCCACGAGGAAAGGGUAAUAUCCUCGCCUUUUUCGCCAAUGUCAUUUGCUUCUGCUUAACCAUUCUAAAGGGUAAUAUCUCUGGGUUGAUCUAGCUCAAAUGAAGCUUUAAAAGCAGCAACGGAGCGCACUGC